GUUCGCUCCCACGCUUUCGCUCCUCAGCGUCAGUACCGGCCCAGACCACCGCCUUCGCCACCGGUGUUCCUCCUGAUAUCUGCGCAUUUCACCGCUACACCAGGAAUUCCAUGGUCCCCUACCGGACUCUAGCCAUAGCAGUAUCGAGUGGCCUCUCUGAGUUAAGCCCAGAGAUUUCACACCCGACUUGCCAAGCCGCCUACGAGCUCUUUACGCCCAAUGAAUCCGGACAACGCUCGCCCCCUACGUAUUACCGCGGCUGCUGGCACGUAGUUGGCCGGGGCUUCUUCUGCAGGUACCGUCAGUUUCGUCCCUGCUGAAAGGGGUUUACAACCCGAGGGCCUUCAUCCCCCACGCGGCGUUGCUGCGUCAGGCUUUCGCCCAUUGCGCAAGAUUCCCUACUGCUGCCUCCCGUAGGAGUCUGGGCCGUGUCUCAGUCCCAGUGUGGCUGGUCGUCCUCUCAGACCAGCUAGCCGUCGUCGCCUUGGUAGGCCGUUACCCCACCAACAAGCUGAUAGCCCGCGAGGCCCUCCCGGAGCAAAAUUCUUUCCUCAUCAGGUCAUGCGGCCCGAUGAG
rnacentral:rRNA from 1 species